rnacentral:rRNA from 1 species
AGAGUGAACGCUGGCGGUAGGCCUAACACAUGCAAGUCGAACGGCAGCACAGUGGUAGCAAUACCAUGGGUGGCGAGUGGCGGACGGGUGAGGAAUACAUCGGAAUCUACCUUUUCGUGGGGGAUAACGUAGGGAAACUUACGCUAAUACCGCAUACGCCCUUCGGGGGAAAGCCGGGGAUCGCAAGACCUGGCGCGGAUAGAUGAGCCGAUGUCGGAUUAGCUAGUUGGUGAGGUAAUGGCUCACCAAGGCGACGAUCCGUAGCUGGUCUGAGAGGAUGAUCAGCCACACUGGAACUGAGACACGGUCCAGACUCCUACGGGAGGCAGCAGUGGGGAAUAUUGGACAAUGGGCGCAAGCCUGAUCCAGCCAUACCGCGUGGGUGAAGAAGGCCUUCGGUGUAAAGCCCUUUGUUGGAAAGAAAGACAAUACGGUUAAUACCCGGUUGUUCUGACGGUACCCAAAGAAUAAAGACACCGGACUAACUUCGUAGCCAGCAGCCGCGGUAAAU